UACGUAGGGUGCGAGCGUUGUCCGGAAUCACUGGGCGUAAAGCGCACGUAGGCGGCUUUUUAAGUCAGGGGUGAAAUCCUGGAGCUCAACUCCAGAACUGCCUUUGAUACUGAGAAGCUUGAGUCCGGGAGAGGUGAGUGGAACUGCGAGUGUAGAGGUGAAAUUCGUAGAUAUUCGCAAGAACACCAGUGGCGAAGGCGGCUCACUGGCCCGGUACUGACGCUGAGGCGCGAAAGCGUGGGGAGCAAACAGG
rnacentral:rRNA from 1 species